rnacentral:rRNA from 1 species
UACGGGGGGAGCAAGCGUUGUUCGGAUUUACUGGGCGUAAAGGGCGCGUAGGCGGUCUCGACAAGUCACUUGUGAAAUCUCUGGGCUUAACUCAGAACGGUCAAGUGAUACUGCCAGACUAGAGUGCAGAAGGGGCAACUGGAAUUCUCGGUGUAGCGGUGAAAUGCGUAGAUAUCGAGAGGAACACCUGCGGCGAAGGCGGGUUGCUGGGCUGACACUGACGCUGAGGCGCGAAAGCUAGGGGAGCGAACGGG